rnacentral:snoRNA from 1 species
UGCAGUGAUGGUGUAAUUUGCGUCUGAGACAGUGAACAGUGACAGUUGCCUGCUGUCUUAUGCUGUCACAUGUUAUUGAUGAACCAUGAGUCUGAGCA